rnacentral:hammerhead_ribozyme from 1 species
AUUCAGCUGAAGAGUCUCAAAUAACACGAAACGCGCGUUCUAGAU